rnacentral:rRNA from 1 species
UUAGUGGCGGACGGGUGAGUAACACGUGGGAACGUGCCUUUAGGUUCGGAAUAGCUCCUGGAAACGGGUGGUAAUGCCGAAUGUGCCCUUAGGGGGAAAGAUUUAUCGCCUUUAGAGCGGCCCGCGUCUGAUUAGCUAGUUGGUGAGGUAAUGGCUCACCAAGGCGACGAUCAGUAGCUGGUCUGAGAGGAUGACCAGCCACAUUGGGACUGAGACACGGCCCAAACUCCUACGGGAGGCAGCAGUGGGGAAUCUUGCGCAAUGGGCGAAAGCCUGACGCAGCCAUGCCGCGUGAAUGAUGAAGGUCUUAGGAUUGUAAAAUUCUUUCACCGGGGACGAUAAUGACGGUACCCGGAGAAGAAGCCCCGGCUAACUUCGUGCCAGCAGCCGCGGUAAUACGAAGGGGGCUAGCGUUGCUCGGAAUUACUGGGCGUAAAGGGCGCGUAGGCGGAUCGUUAAGUCAGAGGUGAAAUCCCGGAGCUCAACUUCGGAACUGCCUUUGAUACUGGCGAUCUUGAGUGUGAGAGAGGUAUGUGGAACUCCGAGUGUAGAGGUGAAAUUCGUAGAUAUUCGGAAGAACACCAGUGGCGAAGGCGACAUACUGGCUCAUUACUGACGCUGAGGCGCGAAAGCGUGGGGAGCAAACAGGAUUAGAUACCCUGGUAGUCCACGCCGUAAACGAUGAUUGCUAGUUGUCGGGCUGCAUGCAGUUCGGUGACGCAGCUAACGCAUUAAGCAAU